CUCGCCUCCUUGUUUAUGCUUGUUUCUUGGGAGAUUUGGAAAGAGCGCAAUGCUAGGGUCUUUCAUAACUCCGCCGUUAUGGUGAUGAUUGUCUUUGCGAGGAUAAAGGAGGAGGCUCGGUUUUGGGCCCUUGUCGGUGCCAUACAUUUGAGUAAUGUAAUGCCGCUAGAGUAG
rnacentral:rRNA from 1 species